AUGAGCUGCAGCUGCAGCAUCAAGCAGUGGCAACAAAGACUAGAACUCUUCAUGAUGCGUGCGAUAGACUGGUGUGUUAACCCAUUUCUCUUAGCCUAUGUGGUUAUCUUAGCAAUAGAUUGUACUUUACUGUAUUGCUCUUUUCAACAUUUUGUAGAACGUAGGAACAAUUUAGUUGCAUGGUAAGAGGAUACGCUUGUAAGCGUGAUAGACUGGUGUGUCAACCCAUUUCUCUUAGCCUAUGUGGUUAUCUUAGCAAUAGAUUGUACUUCACUGUAUUACUCUUUUCAACAUUUUGUAGAACGUAGGAACAAUUUAGUUGCAUGGUAAGAGGAUACGCUUGUAAGCGAUGGUGUUUAUUGUAAAAAAGAUAUGAGUUUGCAUCAGUCUAUGAUGCCGAAAGUCCUUACCUCCAAUCUACUCUUUUGUUGGAUUUUAGCCUGAUGUGUUUAAUAGUUGCCAAACAUCUUCAAUUCCCACCUAGCACCAAGU
rnacentral:lncRNA from 1 species